CGUCAAGUAGCUCAGUUGUUUAGAGCAGUCGCCUGGCAAGCGAAAGACCCGGGUUCAAUUCCCAGUCUAGCGG
rnacentral:tRNA from 1 species